rnacentral:ncRNA from 1 species
UUCUUCUUUUUACCUAGAUGGCAAACUAGUUUCCUAGAUGGCAAGCUAGAAAUUUUACGUAGAUGGCAAGCUAGAAUAUAUUCCCUCGACCUAUUCUCAAACUUUAAAUAGGUAGGAUGGAAUGACUGCUUAAUUUAGCUAUUCCAAGGAAUCUAGAGCUCCAAGUGGGCCAUUUUUGGUAAGCUGAACUGGCGAUGAGGGAUAAACCGGAAACCGGGUUACGGUGCCCAACUGUGCGCUAACCUAGAAUCAACAAAGGGAGUUGGUCGAUUAAGACAGCAGGACGGUGGUCAUGGAAGUCGAAAUUCGCUAAGGAGUGUGUAACAACUCACCUGCCGAAUCAACUAGCCCCGAAAAUGGAUGGCGCUAAAGCGCAUGACCCAUACCCGGCCGUCAGAGUGAUUUCUAAACCCUGAUGAGUAGGAGGGCAUGGCGGUUGCAGCAAAACUUGACACGUGAGCCUGGGUGGAGCGGCCGUCAAUG